rnacentral:lncRNA from 1 species
CCCCAGCAUGAGGAGUACAGGUACCAGGUCCCACACUCUACUAGUAUACUUGACACAUUUGGCUAUCAUUUUUAUUUGGGAAACAAGGGAUCCUUUAGCUCAGAUUGUACUAGAAUGUGCUAUGUAGCAGAAGCUGGUCUGAAACUUCAGAUUCUCCGGCCUCCACCUCCCAACUACUAGGAUUACAAGUGCGCGCCACUCCACUCAGCUUUCUCUGUCUUCUAGUGUCUAUAGUUGUAUAGAAUUAUAAGUAGGGAUUAUAGUCAAGAUGCUAACAGCUCCCAAUGGUAUUGCUACUGGCCACACAAAGCCUAGGCUUCUCAGAAAACAUUUGUAUGGGCCCAGCCUGGCAAGCCCUAGCUGAACAUUGGUCAUAGUUUGAGGUACAUUUUGUUUGAAAACUUGGCUGUGAGUUUUUGGAUUUAGAUUUCUCAGUGAGUAUGUCUGUACUAAUAAUCUUUAGUUGUUAUUACUAGCAUAUGAUAUGCCUAAUUAUUAUCGAUUCAGUAUAUAGAAAAUACUUUUUGUAAUCAUGGGCUAGCUCAGUGGGUAAAGACACUUGUCAUGUAAACCUAGUGAUCUAAGCUUGAUCCCCAGAGCUCUCGUAAAGGUGGAAGAAAAAAAAAACUAACCCCACAAAAUUGCUGUCUGACCAAGCAUGUUUUAUUGCUUACACACAACACCAUACACAUUAUAAAUGCACACAAUAAUAAAUAAAACUUUAAAAGAAUAAAAA